AUUGAACGCUGGCGGCAGGCCUAACACAUGCAAGUCGAGCGAGCGGCGGACGGGUGAGUAAUGUAUGGGGACUGCCCGAUAGAGGGGGAUAACUACUGGAAACGGUGGCUAAUACCGCAUACUCUCGUAUAACCCAUAUGGGAUUGGCUAGUAGGUGGGGUAAAGGCUCACCUAGGCGACGAUCUCUAGCUGGUAUGAGAGGAUGAUCAGCAACAUGGGGACGGAGAAACGGCCAAGACUCCUACGGAGGAAGCAGGGGGGAAUAUUGCACAAGGGGCGCAAGCCUGAGAAAGCCAUGCCGCGGGUAUGAAGAAGGCCUUAGGGUUGUAAAGUACUUUCAGCGGGGAGGCGUUACCCGAAGAAGAAGCAACGGCUAACUCCGUGCCAGCAGCCGCGGUAAUAC
rnacentral:rRNA from 1 species